rnacentral:lncRNA from 7 species
GAGCCUUCUACAAGUGGGGAUAGCGAUGGCUGAAUUUGGAAUACUUCAUUCUCCUUGGUGAUUUACUGACAAACAAUGCUUUCAUCCUCACACACCUGUGUCUUCUGAGAAGAUUAAUCAGCUAUGUUCUCCGAAAGAGAAAGCAAUUCCAGGAGGACAGAGAGUCAUUCGUGUGCCAACAGUACUGCUAGCUAGACUGAAAACUGUAUGUGUUUGCAGAGUUUACAGAAGUAAAGAGUCCAUGUUGCUGCUAGAUGGAGACUACAAUUGAUUGAAAAAGGCAGCACCUUCGAAUCUGAAACAGGAACAUCAAAGACUGUCAUCAAAGAGACAGGCUCUUCAAGAAGAACAAAAAGAGACGAAUCACCAAUCACAUCAGAGGGCUGAGCUGAGCAAGUGAAGGACUGGAAAGACAUAUUCUCCCUCAGGAUUUGCAGGAGAAGGCCAGGUUAUAUUUACUGCUUGCUCCAGUUAAAGAGCAGCACAGAACAGUGACAGCUCCAGAGGAGACUGUGGAUGAAGCCUUUGCCUUCACUGCACUCUGCCGGGGGUUGCUGCCCUGCUCCCCUCCUUCACCCCCUGCCACCUCAGGUGAUGGGUGCCUAGGCCCUGAUUGCAUCUAACCUUUCAUCACAAGCUUUGUCACCGGAGCGGAAAAGAUCCUUCAAGAACCAUGUUGGCCAUCUUACCAAUUUCCACUCUAGUGCACCUAGAAUAUGAUAGAAACUGCACGUUUAAGGUGUGUUCAUAAUGACUCAGAGUGUGAGGGAGCAGAAGCUGAACUGAGACCACACUCAGGACAGAAGGUGAGCCCAUCUAUUGCAUCGCUGCUGAAACGAUUCUCCAACAGAAAAUAGAGAACAUUUUUAAUUCUGUCUUAUAAAGCACCAUUUUUACACUUUUUUUUUCUUUAUACUGGAUUAAUGCUACAUACUAAACUCUGAAGAUCCUCUUAUGAAAUAUAUUGGCCAUCAGACCAAUUUCCUUACCCACAGAAGAGACACUGGUGUAGUAUCUCUCUGUUCUUGAGCAAUUUGGCAGCUCGCUUAAGGACAAAUACGUGACCAGAGGGUGGCCCUUGAGCCAUGUGCAAUUUAUGCGACUCCUCAGCACAGCUGGAUCCAGAUGUCCCAGCUGUGGGAGCUCCCCUAAGUCCUCAGCUGCAAGAAGAAUUGACCCAGGAGGGACAGUCAAUGUCUGCAGCUGAAGCCAAGCCUUCAAGACAACAAAGAGCUUCUGUUGAUUGUGUUGAUUGUUGAUUGUGACCAUGCGAAGAUUUUGGAACCUGGCCUUAAUGUUGGCCAUCCUUUGCCCAUAGCAUCAAAAAGCAAAUUACUGCAUAUUUGUCAUACCACAAAUGUCUGCUGCUACCGACAGCUGCCAUAAUUUUAUGUACAUUUAUGAGUACCAAAUUUUGCUCUAAUGUAAGACGUUAAAAGGCGUUGAUACUGAACAACAAAAAGUACCAUUCUGGCCUUGUAGCCAACUAUGUUUUG